GUAAGUAAAAGUCGUAACAAGGUUUCCGUAGGUGAACCUGCGGAAGGAUCAUUCAUAAUAAAGUGUUUUAUGGCACUUUUUAAAAAUCCAUAUCCACCUUGUGUGCAAUGUUAGAUCUCGUCAAUCUUGGCGAGAUUUUUAUACAUCAACUCAUUCUUUAACUAAUUUGUCUGAAAAAUAUUAUGAAUACUUAAUUCAAAAUACAACUUUCAACAACGGAUCUCUUGGCUCUC
rnacentral:misc_RNA from 1 species